UAGGGAAUCUUCCACAAUGGACGCAAGUCUGAUGGAGCAACGCCGCGUGAGUGAAGAAGGUUUUCGGAUCGUAAAGCUCUGUUGUUGGUGAAGAAGGAUAGAGGUAGUAACUGGCCUUUAUUUGACGGUAAUCAACCAGAAAGUCACGGCUAACUACGUGCCAGCAGCCGCGGUAAUCGUAGGUGGCAAGCGUUGUCCGGAUUUAUUGGGCGUAAAGCGAGCGCAGGCGGAAGAAUAAGUCUGAUGUGAAAGCCCUCGGCUUAACCGAGGAAUUGCAUCGGAAACUGUUUUCUUGAGUGCAGAAGAGGAGAGUGGAACUCCAUGUGUAGCGGUGGAAUGCGUAGAUAUAUGGAAGAACACCAGUGGCGAAGGCGGCUCUCUGGUCUGCAACUGACGCUGAGGCUCGAAAGCAUGGGUAGCGAACAGGAUUAGAUACCCUGGUAGUCCAUGCCGUAAACGAUGAGUGCUAAGUGUUGGGAGGUUUUCCGCCUCUCAGUGCUGCAGCUAACGCAUUAAGCACUCCGCCUGGGGAGUACGACCGCAAGGUUGAAAC
rnacentral:rRNA from 1 species